rnacentral:sRNA from 1 species
GCUGGGCACAGUGGCAUAUGCCUGUAAUCCCAGCAGCUCAGGAGGCUGAGGCAGGAGGAUCUCAAGUUCAAAGCUAGCCUCAGUAAACACAAAGUGCUAAGCACCAGCUCAGUGAGACCCUGUCUUUA